rnacentral:rRNA from 1 species
AGCGAACGCUGGCGGCAGGCCUAACACAUGCAAGUCGAACGGACCCUUCGGGGUUAGUGGCGGACGGGUGAGUAACACGUGGGAACGUGCCUUUAGGUUCGGAAUAGCUCCUGGAAACGGGUGGUAAUGCCGAAUGUGCCCUUCGGGGGAAAGAUUUAUCGCCUUUAGAGCGGCCCGCGUCUGAUUAGCUAGUUGGUGAGGUAACGGCUCACCAAGGCGACGAUCAGUAGCUGGUCUGAGAGGAUGACCAGCCACACUGGGACUGAGACACGGCCCAGACUCCUACGGGAGGCAGCAGUUGGGAAUCUUGCGCAAUGGGCGAAAGCCUGACGCAGCCAUGCCGCGUGAAUGAUGAAGGUCUUAGGAUUGUAAAAUUCUUUCACCGGGGACGAUAAUGACGGUACCCGGAGAAGAAGCCCCGGCUAACUUCGUG